rnacentral:lncRNA from 1 species
CAGAUUGCAGCACCCCUUUGCUGACAGAUUGCCUGACCCCAAGGCAUCUCCCCAAGAUGACCACAGUUGUCCCUGAAGAAGCAGUCACAGCAAGCUCACUUCACAGGAACCAAGCUGUGGGCUGAUCCUACAGACUUGAAAAGACAACUCAAAAAGAUUGUCUGUGGGGUCAGAAACAGCUCUGGAGGGGUCUGCAGAAAUUACUUUCCCAAGUCUUUGGGCUGGAAGGAACGAACAGUGCCUGACCAAGGACUUUGAGCAGGAGAGAGAUGGGAGCAGAGAGGAGCCAAGGUCUACUAUUUUCACUUCUGUCAAUUAGAUCAAAGCCCUGCCCAGAAGCUUUGAGCGCCGCUGUCAAGUCCCAUUCCUCCCCUAAACCAUCCAGGUUCCAUCUGCCUUGAAGCCAAAGGAUCUUCUUAGAUUCCUCAAGAAAAAUUCAGGCCCCGAGUUUCUCCACCAGCACUCUCCUCUCCCCGAAGGAGUGGGUGGGCUGCAUUUCUCUUCAUAUUCUAUUCCAUUCCAGACCGUCUUGGACUACCAGCCUGUCCGCCACCCCUCGGGGCCCUCCCUCCUACUCUGCCCUUGCCCGCUGAGGUCCCAAGCUGAGGAGAUGAGCCGAGCAGUAAAAAGAGAGGAGGUUUGGAAAAGCAAUGUCCUCUCAGUCUUUAAUAGGUGGCCCCCCUGGGAACCUGCUGGAAGUGGAAGUUAAUAAGCUGAAGGUGGUCACAACCAAUCUCUGCCACACUCGCACCCUACCCCACCCCAAAUCAUUCCUUUUAAUUAAUAGUGGAAGACCUUUUUAAAAAUGUAACAUGAAUUGGCUAUUUCUUGAGGCAAACAAAAGGUGGCUCUGAAGCGAUAUAUUUGUACUCGUAUAAAUUCAUUAAAAUAGAAA